rnacentral:rRNA from 1 species
UCCGUAGGUGAACCUGCGGAGGGAUCAUUACACAAUAAAAUAUGAAGGCUGUACGCGGCUGUGCUCUCGGGCCAGUUUUGCGGAGGCUGAAUUAUUUAUUACCCUUGUCUUUUGCGCACUUGUUGUUUCCUGGGCGGGUUCGCCCGCCACCAGGACCACAUCAUAAACCUUUUUUAUGCAGUUGCAAUCAGCGUCAGUAUAACAAAUGUAAAUCAUUUACAACUUUCAACAACGGAUCUCUUGGUUCUGGCAUCGAUGAAGAACGCAGCGAAAUGCGAUACGUAGUGUGAAUUGCAGAAUUCAGUGAAUCAUCGAAUCUUUGAACGCACAUUGCGCCCUUUGGUAUUCCAAAGGGCAUGCCUGUUCGAGCGUCAUUUGUACCCUCAAGCUUUGCUUGGUGUUGGGCGUUUUUUGUCUUUGGUUGCCAAAGACUCGCCUUAAAAGGAUUGGCAGCCGGCCUACUGGUUUCGCAGCGCAGCACAUUUUUGCGCUUGCAAUCAGCAAAAGAGGACGGCAAUCCAUCAAGACUCC